UACGUAGGGGGCAAGCGUUGUCCGGAAUCAUUGGGCGUAAAGAGCGUGUAGGCGGCCAGAUAAGUCCGCUGUGAAAUCUCGAGGCUUCAACUUCGAGCUGUCGGUGGAAACUGUCUGGCUAGAGUCCGGAAGAGGAGAAUGGAAUUCCUGGUGUAGCGGUGAAAUGCGCAGAUAUCAGGAAGAACACCCGUGGCGAAGGCGGUUCUCUGGGAAUAUCCUGCGCUGAGGAGCAAAAGUGUGGGGAGCGAACAGG
rnacentral:rRNA from 1 species